GACGAGGGGGGCGAGCGUUAUCCGGAAUGAUUGGGCGUAAAGGGUCCGUAGGUUGUAUUGUGGAUGCUAUUAAUUAAAGACUAAAGCUUAACUUUAGGAAUGUUAGUAGAACACCUUUACUUGAGUUUAGAAGAGGAUAGUAGAAUUCCAUGUGGAGGGGUGGAAUCCGAAGAUAUAUGGAGGAAUGCCAAAGGCGAAAGCAACUAUCUGGGCUAAAACUGACGCUGAGGGACGAAAGCGUGGGGAGCAAACAGG
rnacentral:rRNA from 1 species